UACGUAGGGGGCAAGCGUUGUCCGGAUUUAUUGGGCGUAAAGAGCGUGUAGGCGGUCAGGUAGGUCGGUUGUGAAAACUGGAGGCUCAACCUUCAGAGGUCGACCGAAACCCCCUGGCUAGAGUCCGGGAGAGGAGAGUGGAAUUCCUGGUGUAGCGGUGAAAUGCGCAGAUAUCAGGAAGAACACCCGUGGCGAAAGCGGCUCUCUGGAACGGUACUGACGCUGAGACGCGAAAGCGUGGGGAGCGAACAGGAUUAGAAACCCCCGUAGUCC
rnacentral:rRNA from 1 species